rnacentral:rRNA from 1 species
UACGUAGGGGGCAAGCGUUGUCCGGAAUCAUUGGGCGUAAAGAGCGUGUAGGCGGCCCGGUAAGUCCGCUGUGAAAGUCCAGGGCUCAACCCUGGGAUGCCGGUGGAUACUGUCGGGCUCGAGUCCGGAAGAGGCGAGUGGAAUUCCUGGUGUAGCGGUGAAAUGCGCAGAUAUCAGGAGGAACACCAAUGGCGAAGGCAGCUCGCUGGGACGUGACUGACGCUGAGACGCGAAAGCGUGGGUAGCAAACGGG